CAGCGGUGCACUUCACAGGGCCUGUCGUCUCGAGUGCAGCUAAGAUCACACGCAGAGGCGUCUCGCACAUCACAAUGGCUGAUUUUCAACACACGGCCUUUGGAACUUAUUAUUUUUCACCAUGUAUAAUAUAUAUGUUAUUCUCCAAAUGAAUCAAAUCAAAGCCAGACCAUGCAUCUCUACUUGGACUAAGAAGUCACGGAGAAUAACAAGGAUUUUCAUAGUAACAAGGUGCUGCGAAGGGGAAUGCGGGGGCCGCCGCCGCCGUCGUUGCUGAUGCUACUAGGCUUUAUGCUUUGAUGAACCUACCCUUGAAAAGCUGGGACAUCCGUGACCGUGUUCUGCUGAGCCUGGAAGACACCUCCCUCCCUU